UACGGAGGGUGCAAGCGUUAUCCGGAUUCACUGGGCUUAAAGGGUGCGUAGGCGGGUAGGUAAGUCUGCGGUGAAAUCUCUGAGCUUAACUCAGAAACUGCCAUGGAUACUAUUUGUCUUGAAUAUUGUGGAGGUAAGCGGAAUAUGUCAUGUAGCGGUGAAAUGCUUAGAUAUGACAUAGAACACCAAUUGCGAAGGCAGCUUACUACACAGUUAUUGACGCUGAGGCACGAAAGCGUGGGGAUCAAACAGG
rnacentral:rRNA from 1 species